CAUGCAAGUCGAACGAGGAUAUAUCCUUCGGGAUGUAAGCCGAGUGGCACAAGGGUGAGCAAUGCAUAGAUUACCUACCUUUAGGAUAAGGGCAACUUUGUGAAAACGAAGCUAAUACUUAAUAAUACAAAAGAAAAUAAUUUUCUUUUGUCAAAGGGAGAGUAGCAAUACCUUUCGCCUAGAGAGGGGUUUAUGUCCUAUCAGCUUGUUGGUGGGGUAAUAGCCCACCAAGGCGAAGACGGGUAGCCGGUUUAAGAGGAUGGUCGGCCACACUGGGACUGAGACACUGCCCAGACUUCUACGGAAGGCUGCAGUCGAGAAUCUUUCGCAAUGCCCGAAAGGGAGACGAAGCGACGCCGCGUGGGUGAAGAAGGCCUUCGGGUUGUAAAGCCCUGUCAGGAGUUAUGAAAUGUAAGUGCGCUAAUAUCGUGCUUAUUUGACAAAGGCUCCAAAGGAAGCCACGGCUAACUCUGUGCCAGCAGCCGCGGUAAUACAGAGGUGGCGAGCGUUGUUCGGAAUUAUUGGGCGUAAAGAGCACGUAGGUGGGUUUGCAAGUCAGAUGUGAAAGCCUUCUGUUCAACGGAAGAAUUGCAUCUGAAACUGCUAAUCUUGAGUAUAGGAGGGGAGAAUGGAACUUCUGGUGGAGCGGUGAAAUGCGUAGAUAUCAGAAGGAACGCCGGCGGCGAAAGCGAUUCUCUGGCCUAUUACUGACACUCAGUGUGCGAAAGCUAGGGGAGCAAACGGGAUUAGAUACCCCGGUAGUCCUAGCCGUAAACGAUGGGCACUAAGUAGAGGGAAUUACCUAUAUUCUCUCUGCCGUAGCUAACGCAUUAAGUGCCCCGCCUGGGGAGUACGGCCGCAAGGCUAAAACUCAAAAGAAUUGACGGGGGCUCGCACAAGCGGUGGAGCAUGUGGCUUAAUUCGAUGCAACGCGAAAAACCUUACCGGGGCUUGACAUGAUAGAAGUAGGAACCUGAAAGGGGGACGAACGGUAUCCAGUCCGUAGCUAUCACAGGUGUUGCAUGGCUGUCGUCAGCUCGUGUCGUGAGACGUUGGGUUAAGUCCCCUAACGAGCGAAACCCUUGUUUUUAGUUACCAGCGGGUUAUGCCGGGUACUCUAGAAAGACUGCCGUCGUCAAGACGGAGGAAGGUGGGGAUGACGUCAAGUCAUCAUGGCCCUUAUGCCCCGGGCUGCACACGUGCUACAAUGGUCGGUACAGACGGAAGCGAAGCCGAGAGGUGAAGCGAAUCCUAAAAAGCCGAUCUCAGUUCGGAUUGGAGGCUGAAAUUCGCCUCCAUGAAGUUGGAAUCGCUAGUAAUCGCGGAUCAGCAAUGUCGCGGUGAAUAUGUUCCCGAGCCUUGUACACACCGCCCGUCAAGCCACCCAAGCAGGAUGCACCCGAAAACAUUAUAUCUAACCAGGGCAACUUGGAGGAAAAUGUGAAGGAGUGUUUUGUGAGGAGGACUAAGUCGUAACAAGGUAGUCGUAGGAGAACCUGCGGCUGGAUCACCUCCUUUCU
rnacentral:rRNA from 1 species